GACGUGUGCUCUUCCGAUCUGUCAUAUGCUUGUUUCAAGGACUAAGCCAUGCAAGUGCCAGAGUAACUGGAUUGAUAGGAGGUCUGCGUACGGCUCAUUAAACGGUUUAUUAUCUACCCAGCGUCGGGGGUGGAAACGCCUUCCUAUGGAUAACUCCGUUAACGCGGAGCUAAUACACGUACGAAGAAACCUGCUCCGUUGAGCUUGCUUGGGGUAACCUGGGUGAGUGGGGUGGGUUGCAAUUGGCCGGAACAAAAACCAACGCCCGUUCUGCGGGCAGCGAGAACUGUUGAGGCAGGCCAAUCAUGCAAAAGCGCAUACCUUCGGGUGGCGCGUUGCUGGACGAAUUUACCACCUAUCAGGCUGUUGGUAGUGUAGUGGACUACCAAACCGGUGACGGGUAACGGGGAAUUGGGGUUCGAUUCCGGAGAGGGUGCCUGAGAGAUGGCAACCAUUGCUACGGUGAGCAGCAGGCGCGCAAAUUGCCCAAUGCCGACUCGGUGAGGCAGCGACGAAAAAUAACAACUCCGGCGGCUUCUAGCCACGGGGAUUGUAAUGGACUGUAUCUAGACACACUGCUGAGUAUCUAUUGGAGGACAAGUCUGGUGCCAGCACCCGCGGUAAUUCCAGCUCCAAGAGCAUAUAUUAAUGUUGUUGCGGUUAAAAAGCUCGUAGUUGGAUUCAGGGAUCUGGGCGACGGUCUGGUCCGAGGUGUGCACAACUCGUGUCACCGCGAGUGCCUGCCGGUUUGUCCCGGGUUCUUACUUUCUUGCGGAAGCGAAUGCCGGCCGAGUGCCACUUCACUGUGGUGCGAAGCGAACUACGGAGUUUCUACGCUCCUUAAGGCACGUCCGCAGAAGUUACUGUGAGUAAAGCAGAGUGCUCAAAGCACCCAACUCGCUUGGGAGAAUGUUAAAGCAUAGAAUAACAAGGGAUCGACCACGUUGUGGAGUCUUAUUGUUGGUUUUCAAGCCGCCGUGCGACAAUUUAGAGCAGGUGUCUUGUGUGGAUGGGCGCAGUCCGCAAGGGCUCGCUCGCUGCAUCUAAGCCCUGCUCAUUGGGAUCAAUAGGAGCGCGGGGAGCGAUCAGUACUCCCGGGUGAGAGGUGAAAUUCAUAGACCCCGGGAAGACUAACAUCAGCGAAAGCCGUUCGCUAUCGCGCUUUCAUUAAUCAAGAACGAGAGAAAGGGGAUCGAAGAUGAUCAGAUACCGUCGUAGUCCUUUCCGUAAAUGAUGCAGACUAGGGAUCGGCCGCAGCUUUCCACAAACGCGGUCGGCACCUCACUCCCUUGUCGAGAAAUCAAAGUCUUUGUGUUCCGGGGGGAGUAUAUUCGCAAGGCUGAAACUUAAAGGAAUUGACGGAGAACCACCACCAGGCGUGGAGUGUGCGGCUUAACUUGACUCAACACGGGAAACCUUACCAGGUCAGGACAUGGUGAGGAUUGCCAGAUUGAAAGCUCUUGCAUGAUCCCAUGAAGGGUGGUGCAUGGCCGCUUCUGGUUGGUGGAGUGAUUUGUCUGCUUAAUUGCGCUAACGAACGAGAUCUCAACCAGCAUCUACAUGCCAGUUCCGUUUAAGGUUUUCGGUGGUCCAUCUGGGGGUCGGGCAACUGGUUCUCAGGUGGUUCUGCUGGCCGAGGAAGCUGGAGACUGUUUACAUACUGGGAUUAUGCAUAGUUCCAAUUGCAUUGAAACGUGAGCCAAAAGCAGGUCUGUGAUGCUCCUAUAUGUCCUGGGCUGCACGCGCACUACACUGACGCAGACAACGAGCUUCUGUCUUCGUGACAGCCUGUGCCGAAGGGCAUGGGGAAUCUUCUGAGGCUGCGUCGUGAUGGGGAUAGAUGCUUGAAAUUAUUCUCCUUGAACGAGGAAUGCCUUGUAGGCGCGUUUCAUCAGAACGCACCGAAUACGUCCCUGAGA
rnacentral:rRNA from 1 species